rnacentral:rRNA from 1 species
UAAGCCGCGAAUAGCUCAUUACAACAGCCAUCGUUUACUAGAAAAUAGUUGUCCUACUUGGAUAACUGUGGCAAUUCUAGAGCUAAUACAUGCGAAAAAACUCAGACCGUAAGGAAUGAGUGCAUUUAUUAAAAUAAAAACCAAUCGGGUGUAAAAAGCCCGUCAUUUGGUGAAUCUGAAUAACUUUGCCGAUCGCACGGUCCUAGUACCGGCGACAUAUCUUUCAAGUGUCUGCCUUAUCAACUUUCGAUGGUAGGUUAUACGCCUACCAUGGUAGUAACGGGUAACGGAGAAUAAGGGUUCGACUCCGGAGAGGGAGCCUGAGAAACGGCUACCACAUCCAAGGAAGGCAUCAGGCGCGCAAAUUACCCACUUCCACAACGGAGAGGUAGUGACGAAAAAUAACGAGACAGUCCUCUUCGAGGUCUGUCAUCGGAAUGGGUACAAUUUAAAUCCUUUAACGAGGAUCUAUUGGAGGGCCAGUCUGGAGCCAGCAGCCGCGGAAAUUCCACCUCCAAUAGAGUAUAUUAAAGUUGUUGCGGUUAAAACGCUCGUACUUGGAUCUGCGGUUUUCGGAAAACGGUCCCCCGAAAGGGCGGUCACUGUUACCCC